CCUUCUGACGAGUCCCAAAUAGGACGAAAUGCGCAUCCUGG
rnacentral:hammerhead_ribozyme from 1 species